GAUGAACGCUGGCGGCGUGCCUAAUACAUGCAAGUCGAGCGAACAGACGAGGAGCUUGCUCCUCUGACGUUAGCGGCGGACGGGUGAGUAACACGUGGAUAACCUACCUAUAAGACUGGGAUAACUUCGGGAAACCGGAGCUAAUACCGGAUAAUAUAUUGAACCGCAUGGUUCAAUAGUGAAAGACGGUUUUGCUGUCACUUAUAGAUGGAUCCGCGCCGCAUUAGCUAGUUGGUAAGGUAACGGCUUACCAAGGCAACGAUGCGUAGCCGACCUGAGAGGGUGAUCAGCCACACGGGACCUGAGACACGGUCCAGACUCCUACGGGAGGCAGAAGUAGGGAAUCUUCAGCAAUGGGCGAAAGCUUGACGGAGCAACGCCGCGUGAGUGAUGAAGGUCUUCGGAUCGUAAAACUCUGUUAUUAGGGAAGAACAAAUGUGUAAGUAACUAUGCACGUCUUGACGGUACCUAAUCAGAAAGCCACGGCUAACUACGUG
rnacentral:rRNA from 1 species